AGCAGCCGCGGUAAUUCCAGCUCCAAUAGCGUAUAUUAAAGUUGCUGCAGUUAAAAAGCUCGUAGUUGAAUUUCGGGACUAAUAUGUCGGUCGUGCCUCGGUACGUACUGGUUUAUUGGUUUCUCCUUUCUGAAGAACCAUGAUGUCAUUUAUUUGGUGUCGUGGGGAAUCAGGACUGUUACUUUGAAAAGAUUAGAGUGUUUAAAGCAGGCUCACGCUUGAAUACAUUAGCAUGGAAUAAUGAAAUAGGACGUUUGAUUCUAUUUUGUUGGUUUCUAGGAUCGACGUAAUGAUUAAUAGGGAUAGUUGGGGGCAUUAGUAUUCAAUUGUCAGAGGUGAAAUUCUUGGAUUUAUUGAAGACUAACUACUGCGAAAGCAUUUGCCAAGGAUGUUUUCAUUAAUCAAGAACGAAAGUUAGGGGAUCGAAGACGAUCAGAUACCGUCGUAGUCUUAACCAUAAACUAUGCCGACUAGGGAUCGGAUGAUGUUAAUUUUUAAUGUACUCAUUCGGCG
rnacentral:rRNA from 1 species